UACGUAGGGUGCGAGCGUUAAUCGGAAUUACUGGGCGUAAAGGGUGCGUAGGCGGCUCUUUACGUGAGGUGUGAAAGCCCUGGGCUUAACCCAGGAUUUGCACUUCAAACUGGAGAGCUAGAGUGCAGGAGAGGAAAGUGGAAUUCCCAGUGUAGAGGUGAAAUUCGUAGAUAUUGGGAAGAACACCGGUGGCGAAGGCGGCUCACUGGCCCGUAACUGACGCUCAGGCGCGAUAGCGUGGGGAUCAAACAGG
rnacentral:rRNA from 1 species